AACGAACGCUGGCGGCAGGCCUAACACAUGCAAGUCGAACGGGAUCUUCGGAUCUAGUGGCGGACGGGUGAGUAACGCGUGGGAACGUGCCCUUUGGUUCGGAAUAGCCCUGGGAAACUGGGCGUAAUACCGGAUGUGGUCGAGAGACGAAAGAUUUAUCGCCAAAGGAUCGGCCCGCGUUGGAGUAGGUAGUGGGUGGGGUAAUGGCCUACCAAGCCGACGAUCCAUAGCUGGUUUGAGUGGAUGAACAGCGACACUGGGACUGAGACACGGCCCAGACUCCGACGGGAGGCAGCAGUGGGGAAUCUUAGACAAUGGGGGAAACCGUGAUCUAGCCAUGCCGCGUGAGCGAUGAAGGCCUUAGGGUUGUAAAGCUCUUUCGUGGGGGAAGAUAAUGACUGUACCCCAAGAAGAAGCCCCGGCUAACUCCGUGCCAGCCGCCGCAGUAACAC
rnacentral:rRNA from 1 species